GGCCUGUUUCAUGGAUAGGGUCCCCUUGCCCGCGUGAAAGUCUCAUUCCUCCUCAGCUCAGAAACACUCCAAGGUCUCGGCGCCCUAUACUGGCCUUCCCUCAUCCGAAUACCCCUCGUGCUCCUGAUGUACUUUUCCAUUCCCACUCCCUACUCUGGCAGUCUAGCUUCUAAGCUGAGGAGUUUGGCCUUCGCUCCAGGUGCGGGGACUCGUGGAAGGAUUUGAUUCGCGCUUGAGAAAGAUCGCUCCGCUCCUGUAAGGAAGAGAGCGUGUAGGGGCUGCAACCAGAGACACAGUCAGAAGCUCCGAGGCUACCGCGAUGGUCCAGCACGCGGUCUGGUGGCACCCUGCAGGAUUUACCAGCUUUUUGCCAACAUUCUGGCCUAUGCAAUCAAUACGUCCCUUCAGCGUUGCACUUGGAUGGAUUGGACCUAUAGUUGUUAUAUAUGGAUAUUGUCUAAUUUAUUUAUUACAGUAUUAACUGACUCCU
rnacentral:lncRNA from 1 species